GACAUUCUUCCAUCAUAGCUCAGUGGUAGAGCAUCUGCCUUGAGAGCAGGAGGUCCCAGGUUCAAACCCCAGCAUCUCCA